rnacentral:rRNA from 1 species
AUGUUGGAUUCAGCUUGCUCUUUUCAUGCGACACCCAACAAGGAGUGGUUCUCUUCGUACAAGUCUGGUGAGUUUGGUUUAGCCUAUGUGGGCGAUGACACAGGUUAUCGUAUUGCUGGAGUAGGUGACAUCAAAAUCAAGAUGUUUGACGGAGUUGAGCGGAUGCUUCGGGAAGUCAGGCAUGUCCAGGGCUAA